rnacentral:rRNA from 1 species
GUGGAUUAGAUACCCUGGUAGUCCAUGCCGUAAACGUUGGGAACUAGAUGUGGGGUCCAUUCCACGGAUUCCGUGUCGCAGCUAACGCAUUAAGUUCCCCGCCUGGAGUACGGCCGCAAGGCUAAAACUCAAAGGAAUUGACGGGGGCCCGCACAAGCGGCGGAGCAUGCGGAUUAAUUCGAUGCAACGCGAAGAACCUUACCAAGGCUUGACAUAUACGAGAACGCUUCAGAAAUGAAGAACUCUUUGGACACUCGUAUACAGGUGGUGCAUGGUCGUCGCCAACU